rnacentral:lncRNA from 10 species
GCGUGAACCACAGCACCCGGCCUUGCCUCUGUCUUCUUAUCAGCCAAGAAGCCUUUCCCAGCAUUCCUCAAUAGCCACCCCUCACAUCUCAUUGGCUAGGAUUGGGUCACAUGCCCCAGGCUAAGCCAAUCAUUGUCUAGGAGAAUCAUUGGCUUAGCCAAUCAGAGCCUAUGCCUGAGGCACACAGGGCAAUGCCUAGACCACAGGACAAAAUUGGGCUUUGUCAGCAAGGAAGGAGGGGUGGCUGUUGGGUGGCCUGUGAGGCUGUCACCCAUGUCCCCUCGCUUGUUCUGACAAAGGUUUUCAUAAAAGAGCCACUUCUAGCCUGUCGUGGUGGGACCCUCAGAUGUCCCUGUGCCCUCCAGCGUCUGGGCAACCUGAGGUUCUGGUAGGAGGAGAAGGCUACUUUGUAGAAGUCUGGAGGGCCUGGAAGAAGACAUCUCUGCCCAGACAGUCCAUUUAGUGUAGCUCGGGCCACCCCUUGCCAUCCCGUGUCUAGCAGGUGGCCUGGUGAGUGUGGACUCGUCAGGAGCCGGGCCUCUCUUCCUGCUAUCGCCCUCAGUCCAGCCGUGAGCUCAGCCACCACCUCACCAGUGCACACAUCGGCCAGACAGCCACCAGCAUUGCCUGCCUUGGGUGCCAUGGGGGUUUGGCCUGAACUCUUCACCAAGCGCGGCUCACGAAGGAGCUCACUUCAUCCUCACACCAGCCCCAGGCGUUGCUGACAUCCAGAGCUGGGGAAAGGGCAGGACAGAGGUUGAAGGAAGUCACCCAGAGUCCCACAGCUGGAACGUGGGGGAGCUGGGAUUCUAACCCAGGGCUCACACUGUCGCCCACACCCAUCCAGAAUCUUCAGGAGCUCAGAGCCUCUCAGUGUGUGUGUCACACCUGCUCACGUGCCGUUGGCUGAAGCAAGUGACAUGGCUGGGCCCAAACGGAAGGAGUGGGGAGCAGAUCCUCUCCGUAGAAGGAACAAAGUCAGAUGCCAAGGGGCACGGGCGCAGAGAUAGGAGGACGGUGCACCACCCUGCAGUCCGCACUGAGCCCUGCCAGCACCACAUUCAUGGGCUGCUGCACCCAUUCCCUAACCGUGGUGAGUGCGGGCUGUUGACAGCACGCCCGCCUCCUUUUCAGAGCACGGCCUUGGCUGACAGGAGCCACACAUCCUGGCUGUGCUCUUCCUCACUGCCUGGGAGUCACAGCCGAUGGCUGGCCGGGCCCCCUUUCUUCAAGGCGGGGCAAAGCAGUGGUGUGGGCUGUGGUCCAGAGAGCACCUGACUUGAGCCUACACCCUUGCUCGGCUCUUUCCCCUUCCCCGUGCCGCUGUCUUCCCUCCCUCCCAGGCGUUUAUUGAAGAGCCUUCCCUCAAUAAGCCACGCGCCCUGAAUCCCUGCUCCAGCUCCACUUCCCGGGACCUCCAGGGCCAAGGCGGUGCUUUCCAAGGGUGGUCCAUGGUGUUUCCUGCCCAGCACGCUUUUCGACACUGCGGUCUGACGCUCCUUCUGAGAUAGGGGAGGUCUGUGUCCCCUCCCCUUGAGUCUGGGCAGGCAGGUGACUUGCUUGUAGCCAGUGGGGUAUGGCAGAAGUGACACUAUGUGACGUCCGAUGGUGGUCGUCAGUGUGGCACAGGAACACCUGCUCUCAAAGCUGCCAGACUGCCUGCCUGCUGCGAGGAGGCCGGGGGCACCCCUGUGGGCACACGCCUGGCCAGCCCCACACUAGUCAACUCCAGCCGUUGUCCGAAGGCAACUGCAGGACAGACUCCAGCUAAACCUUGCCCGAGUUCCUGACCCCCAGAAAUCUGGAGAAAAUAAAAAAAAGAUCGUUGUUAU